rnacentral:rRNA from 1 species
GACGAACGCUGGCGGCGUGCUUAACACAUGCAAGUCGAACGGAAAGGCCCUGCUUUUGUGGGGUGCUCGAGUGGCGAACGGGUGAGUAACACGUGAGUAACCUGCCCUUGACUUUGGGAUAACUUCAGGAAACUGGGGCUAAUACCGGAUAGGAGCUCCUGCUGCAUGGUGGGGGUUGGAAAGUUUCGGCGGUUGGGGAUGGACUCGCGGCUUAUCAGCUUGUUGGUGGGGUAGUGGCUUACCAAGGCUUUGACGGGUAGCCGGCCUGAGAGGGUGACCGGCCAAAUUGGGACUGAGAUAGGGCCCAGACUCCUACGGGAGGCAGCAGUGGGGAAUAUUGCACAAUGGGCGGAAGCCUGAUGCAGCAACGCCGCGUGCGGGAUGACGGCCUUCGGGGUGUAAACCGCUUUCGCCUGUGACGAAGCGUGAGUGACGGUAAUGGGUAAAGAAGCACCGGAUAACUACGUG